GACGAGGUGCCCGAGUGGUUAAGGCGAUGGACUGCUAAUCCGUUGUGCUUUGCACGUGUGGGCUGGAAUCUUGUCCUAGUCG
rnacentral:tRNA from 1 species